ACUUAAAUAGCUUAAAAAGAGUUUAAUAUUGAAGAUAUUAAGGUAACACUUGUGUUUUUAAGUA
rnacentral:tRNA from 1 species